GUGAGAUUAUUUCUUACUUCAGUCUAUCUCGUGACAGGCACAGACUAACCCAGCUGGGCUUUUCCAAAGCUUAGCUGCAUACCUCUCCUGAGCAUAUGCUCCCCUUGCAGCAGCUGAACUAUAGCCGUUUGUGUGGCUGGCACAAUAACAAUGCUCCCGUCCUCGCGGCCACAAACCAAACGCCCGUGGGCGGGGAUGUACACGCUGGCCGUGACUUUAAGUGGCUCAUUGAUGUUUGGUAUUAGGCUUAGUUGGUCUAUAAUCCCAGCAGGGCGAGGAGUAAGUUUAUCAAAAGCUUCCUGGAGGGAUAUUGAAGUGGGUCCAUCUUCCGUCCAUACAAUCACUUUAUCAGCUGACACAAAGUCCCCACCCGUCCAGGUCUGAUCGUUUUCACCAGGGACUGAACAUAAGAGGGAAUAAUCUCCAGCAUCAAAAACCUGAAAAGAAACAGAAACCUCUGUCGUUAACCCAUGACAGAUUAAAACGCCCAGACAACAGCUAAUUCCACUUUCAAUACAGACACAUUAAAAGGACUUAGAGUAUCUUGAUCCAAAUUUCUUACUGGUGGUUUAAUUAAAUGAGCUUCUAGAGUGAAAAGCAGGCAGUGGUGCUCAGCUCGCUUGCCUUACCCUCCAGUAUCUGGAACACACUACCAGCAAGGACCGCUGGGUGAACCCACAGAAGGAAAUGCUCUGACAGUUCUGACAAUAAAUAGGUUUUGACUCCUCUUCAAAUACUGGUGUUGUAUCCUAGAAAACAAACAAAACCAACAUUAAAUUAACUGCAUUUUAGUUAAAAUUAUCAAUCUGAGAUCAAAUAGAGCCAUAUUAGUUCUGUAAUAACAUCUUCAAAAAAGGCAUUUCUUGAUGGUUUUAAAUUUGCUCGAGUCACGAGCUUGUCAAUGUUUCUGUAAAUUUUAACCGAAAUAAACACAUAUUUUAUUUUGAUACUCCUAUGGGUAUAUUGUAUCCCAGCUUUCCUGUGAUAGAGUCCAGCCCGCAGACUCAUCUGCAAGGGCAGCCACUUCGACCGGUUCCACAGGGC
rnacentral:lncRNA from 1 species